AUUGAACGCUGGCGGCAGGCCUAACACAUGCAAGUCGAGCGGAUGAAGGGAGCUUGCUCCUGGAUUCAGCGGCGGACGGGUGAGUAAUGCCUAGGAAUCUGCCUGGUAGUGGGGGAUAACGUCCGGAAACGGGCGCUAAUACCGCAUACGUCCUGAGGGAGAAAGUGGGGGUUCUUCGGACCUCACGCUAUCAGAUGAGCCUAGGACGGAUUAGCUAGUUGGUGGGGUAAAGGCCUACCAAGGCGACGAUCCGUAACUGGUCUGAGAGGAUGAUCAGUCACACUGGAACUGAGACACGGUCCAGACUCCUACGGGAGGCAGCAGUGGGGAAUAUUGGACAAAGGGCGAAAGCCUGAUCCAGCCAUGCCGCGUGUGUGAAGAAGGUCUUCGGAUUGUAAAGCACUUUAAGUUGGGAGGAAGAGCAGUAAGUUAAUACCUUGCUGUUUUGACGUUACCAACAGAAUAAGCACCGGCUAACUUCGUG
rnacentral:rRNA from 1 species